GAUGAACGCUGGCGGCGUGCCUAAUACAUGCAAGUCGAGCGAACAGAUGAGGAGCUUGCUCCUCUGACGUUAGCGGCGGACGGGUGAGUAACACGUGGAUAACCUACCUAUAAGACUGGGAUAACUUCGGGAAACCGGAGCUAAUACCGGAUAAUAUAUUGAACCGCAUGGUUCAAUAGUGAAUGACGGUUUUGCUGUCACUUAUAGAUGGAUCCGCGCCGCAUUAGCUAGUUGGUAAGUUAACGGCUUACGAAGGCAACGAUGCGUAGCCGACCUGAGAGGGUGAUAGGCCACACUGGAACUGAGACACGGUCCAGACGACUAAGGGAGGCAGCAGUAGGGAAUCUGCCGCAAUGGGCGAAAGCAUGACGGAGCAACGCGGAGUGAGUGAUGAAGGUCUUCGGAUCGUAAAACUCUGUUAUUAGGGAAGAACAGAUGUGUAAGGAACUAUGCACGUAGUGACGGUACCUAAUAAGAAAGCAACGGCUAACUACGUG
rnacentral:rRNA from 1 species